rnacentral:rRNA from 1 species
GACGAACGCUGGCGGCGCGCCUAACACAUGCAAGUCGAACGGGGUAUAUAGUUAAGUAAUUGAUUGUAUACCUAGUGGCGGACGGGUGAGUAACGCGUGAGCAACCUGCCUCUAACAGGGGGAUAACGUACCGAAAGGUACACUAAUACCGCAUAAAAUGUAGUUACGCAUGUAACUGUAUAGAAAGGGAUACCGGUUAGAGAUGGGCUCGCGUCCGAUUAGAUAGUUGGUAGGGUAAUAGCCUACCAAGUCAACGAUCGGUAGCCGACCUGAGAGGGUGAUCGGCCACAUUGGAACUGAGAACGGUCCAAACUCCUACGGGAGGCAGCAGUGGGGAAUCUUGGGCAAUGGGGGGAACCCUGACCCAGCGACGCCGCGUGAGGGAAGAAGGUUUUCGGAUUGUAAACCUCUGUUCUUGGUGAAGAGUAUAAGACGGUAGCCAAGGAGGAAGCCCCGGCUAACUACGUGCCAGCAGCCGCGGUAAUACGUAGGGGGCGAGCGUUGUCCGGAAUGAUUGGGCGUAAAGGGCGCGUAGGCGGCGACAUAAGUCUGAAGUGAAAGUCCCAAAUUCAAGUUAGGAAUUGCUUUGGAAACUAUAUUGCUUGAGUGCAGGAGAGGUCAUCGGAAUUCCCGGUGUAGCGGUGAAAUGCGUAGAGAUCGGGAGGAACACCAGUGGCGAAGGCGGGUGGCUGGACUGUAACUGACGCUGAUGCGCGAAAGUGUGGGGAGCAAACAGGAUUAGAUACCCUGGUAGUCCACACCGUAAACGAUGAAUGCUAGGUGUAGGUGGUAUCGACCCCAUCUGUGCCGUCGCAAACGCAAUAAGCAUUCCGCCUGGGGAGUACGGUCGCAAGAUUAAAACUCAAAGGAAUUGACGGGGGCCCGCACAAGCAGCGGAGCAUGUGGUUUAAUUCGAAGCAACGCGAAGAACCUUACCAGGUCUUGACAUCCAAUUAAAGCUGAAGAGAUUCAGUGUGUGCUUGCACAAAUUGAGACAGGUGGUGCAUGGUUGUCGUCAGCUCGUGUCGUGAGAUGUUGGGUUAAGUCCCGCAACGAGCGCAACCCUUGCCAAUAGUUACUAACGAGUGAAGUUGAGGACUUUAUUGGGACCGCCGUGGACAACACGGAGGAAGGUGGGGACGACGUCAAAUCAUCAUGCCCCUUAUGAUCUGGGCUACACACGUGCUACAAUGGUCGCAACAAAGAGCAGCGAGGGAGCAAUCCGGAGCGAAUCUCAAAAAAGCGAUCUCAGUUCGGAUUGUGGGCUGCAACCCGCCCACAUGAAGUCGGAGUUGCUAGUAAUCGUGAAUCAGCAUGUCACGGUGAAUGCGUUCCCGGGCCUUGUACACACCGCCCGUCACACCAUGGGAGUUGUUAGCACCCGAAGGCAGAGAGGUAACGGAAGAGCCAUCUGACGAAGGUGAGAAUGAUGACUGGGGUG